CAGUAGCCGCGGUAAUACGGAGGGGGCUAGCGUUGUUCGGAAUUGCUGGGCGUAAAGCGUACGUAGGCGGCUUUGUGAGUUAGAGGUGAAAGCCUGGUGCUCAACACCAGAACUGCCUUUAAGACUGCAUCGCUUGAACGUCGGAGAGGUGAGUGGAGUUCCGAGUGUAGAGGUGAAAUUCGUAGAUAUUCGGAAGAACACCAGUGGCAAAGGCGGCUCACUGGACGACUGUUGACGCUGAGGUACGAAAGCGUGGGGAGCAAACAGGAUUAGAUACCCGAGUAGUCCCUGUCUCUUAUAC
rnacentral:rRNA from 1 species